rnacentral:rRNA from 1 species
ACACCGUAUUCUGUGAGUUGCGAACGGGUGAGUAACGCGUAGGUAACCUGCCUGGUAGCGGGGGAUAACUAUUGGAAACGAUAGCUAAUACCGCAUAAGAACAUUUACUGCAUGGUAGAUGUUUAAAAGGUGCAAAAGCAUCACUACCAGAUGGACCUGCGUUGUAUUAGCUAGUUGGUGAGGUAACGGCUCACCAAGGCAACGAUACAUAGCCGACCUGAGAGGGUGAUCGGCCACACUGGGACUGAGACACGGCCCAGACUCCUACGGGAGGCAGCAGUAGGGAAUCUUCGGCAAUGGGGGGAACCCUGACCGAGCAACGCCGCGUGAGUGAAGAAGGUUUUCGGAUCGUAAAGCUCUGUUGUUAAGGAAGAACGUGUGUGAGAGUGGAAAGUUCACACAGUGACGGUACUUAACCAGAAAGGGACGGCUAACUACGUGCCAGCAGCCGCGGUAAUACGUAGGUCCCGAGCGUUGUCCGGAUUUAUUGGGCGUAAAGCGAGCGCAGGCGGUUAGAUAAGUCUGAAGUGAAAGGCAGUGGCUCAACCAUUGUAGGCUUUGGAAACUGUUUAACUUGAGUGCAGAAGGGGAGAGUGGAAUUCCAUGUGUAGCGGUGAAAUGCGUAGAUAUAUGGAGGAACACCGGUGGCGAAAGCGGCUCUCUGGUCUGUAACUGACGCUGAGGCUCGAAAGCGUGGGGAGCGAACAGGAUUAGAUACCCUGGUAGUCCACGCCGUAAACGAUGAGUGCUAGGUGUUAGGUCCUUUCCGGGA